UCCCCGGCCCGGCCGCGGCGCCCCCACCCCCGCUGGAGGGGGCGGGCAGUGCGCGCUCGGCUGCGGCUGGCGGGGCGGCGGAGAGAGCGGCGCGGAGUUGGCGGGGAUCCCCCUGCGACACACAGGCGGCUCGGGACGGAUAUAAUCCACUGAUAGACAUGGAGCCAUAUUUUGCUGGUUUUAAGCACAUGCGGCAGGACUAUGAAGUCACUCUUGAACUUGCAAGUGAAGAGACUCAAAAAACUAAAAAUGUGCAAAAUUCUAGGACGGGGUCUUACGGUGUCAGCAUUAGAGUCCAAGGAAUUGAUGGACAUCCUUACAUAGUACUGAACAAUACAGAAGGAUGUUUGCCAGAAAAUCCUCCUGCUCCUGGAAAAGAGCAGCAGGUCGUUCCUCACACUGUAAACAAGGCAGCCAUGGACUCCAAUACUGCUUUUAAGUUGGAGGACAAAAUCAGUGAACAUACAAAAUCUGCUGGAACACAGCACGUGCAACCCUCUGUGCCUAAAAAACUGCAGAUAACCAAUGUCAAUGAAAAGGAAAGUGGAAUGCCAGAUUUUAAAGAUGAAACUAUGAAAUCCUCAAAUUUGUUGAAUUUUCAAAGACAUCCUGAACUUUUGCAGCCUUAUGAUCCUGAAAAAAAUAACUUGAACUUGGAUGAUUACCAGUCUUCUGUAUGCAGUAAGUCUAAGUCUUUUGCAGAUGAAAAAACUGAAGCACAGCCUUGGAUUUCCUCAUCUAAGGUAGUGUCCCUACAGAAAACAAAUACGUACUUUGCAGAGUCAACCAAAGCAAAUUCAAAGAAAAUACAUCUGAACAGGUCAGUAGAAGAUCUAAAUAAGCAGCUGCAGGAGUGUCCCAGUAGCAUGAUUGGCCCCGGUGACGCGUGUGCUUCAGAGUCGUUUUCACCUGCAGGAGAAUCCCCCUGUGUUAGUCCCACUGCUUAUCCCGAGACAAAGAAACCCAGGCCAGAUGUUCUUCCCUUCCGCAGGCAAGAUUCCACUGGGCCAGUACUGAAUGACUCCCGAAGAUCCUCCUCCUCAUCAGCUACUCCCACUUCUGCCAAUUCCUUGUACAGAUUUUUACUGGAUGACCAGGAGUACGCCAUCUACGCGGACAAUGUUAACCGCCAUGAAAACAGGAGAUACAUUCCAUUCUUGCCAGGAACUGGUCGUGAUAUUGACACUGGUUCACUUCCAGGGGUAGAUCAGCUAAUUGAAAAGUUUGAUAAGAAAGUUGAUGCUCACAGAAGAGGCAGGUCAGGAAAAAGGAACAGAAUCCAUCCAGAUGAUCGUAAAAGAUCAAGAAGUGUUGAUAGUGCAUUGUCAUUAGGACUUGAUGUAAAUUCAGGUUAUUUAGGUGAAUUCAGUAAAAGCUUGGGUAAGUCAACUGAACACUUGCUGAGACCAUCUAAAGUUUGCCUUCACAAGCAGUUAUCCAGAGAUGAAAAGUCACCUUCCAAAGAGACAAAGAUUCCUGCUCGAAGUAUUGGAAAACUGCAAAUGCCCAAUAAAGACACUCAGAGCAGCAGUUUCAGCACUUUGCAACACCAUAAACAGAAUGGAACAGAUAGAGAGAGCUUGAUGGGUAGAUCAGCUACACUCCCAGGACAGAGUAAGAGAGAGGAAGUUAAAACAGUAACUUCUACUUUGUUGUUGCCAAACCGAAUUACAAUUACACCUGAAUCAGGAGCCAAGAAGAUUUCUGUAAAAACAUGUUCAUCUGUCCCUAAUAUACAGGCAACUCCUGAUCUCCUAAAGGGCCAGCAAGAUCUUGCACAGCAAACAAAUGAAGAGACUGCUAAGCAGAUUCUUUAUAAUUACCUUAAGGAAGGAAGUCCUGAUAAUGAUGAUGCAACAAAGAGGAAAGUGAACUUGGUUUUUGAGAAAAUUCAGACUUUAAAGUCGAGAGCUGCUGGAAAGACACAGGUUUCGGAUUCUUCGGCUGAAGUGAAAGCAUUGGUGGAACAAAAAGCAGAACUUGAAAGGAAAGUGGAAGAGUUAGAGAAAAAACUGGAUCUGGAAGUUAGGAAUCAGCAAAAUUCCAGAGAAGAGAGAGAUGCUACACGAGCGAGUCUGAAAGAUCUUCAGUUGCAGCUUGAUCAAAGUAUAUGUGAAAAGGAAGCCUUAAAAAAGCAGCUGGAAGAAAACGAGAAGGAACUCAGGCAAAACCUGGAGGAGCUCUUUCAAGUGAAGAUGGAACAGGAAAAACACCAGACUGAGAUCAGAGAUCUUCAAGACCAGCUCUCUGAGAUGCAUGAUGAACUGGAUAAUGCAAAACACACUGAUGAAGGGGAGAAAGAGAUUCUGAUUGAGGAGCUGAUGCAAAUGAAGCAGAAUCUGCAAGAAGUAUUGAUAGCAAAAGAUCAACAAGAAGAGAUUUUGAGAAAGAGAGAGAGAGAGCUCACAGCUUUGAAAGGAGCACUUAAAGAAGAGGUAUCCAGCCAUGAUGCAGAGAUGGACAAACUUAAAGAGCAACAUGAAAAAGAAUUGCUGGAUCUGCGACAGAGCCUGGAGAGAGCAACAGAGAGUGCUGCUGUCCUUGCAAGUGAAAAAAAUGCUGCACAAGAGGAGCGAAACAGUGUAGAAAAUCAAGUCAAAGAGUUGAUUGAGGAAAAUAAACAAUUGAAGAGAACACUUACUGAGCUAGAGAGGAAAAUUGAGGAGCUGCACAAACAAAUUGAUAAUAUGAAAGGAGAAGAAAAUUCAGUGAAGGAAAAAUUAAAGACAUAUGAGGAAGAGAAGCAACAAUUAGAAGAAGCUUUGAAACAUGCUGAGAAGGAGGGAAAAGAAUUGUUAGUGUUAAAAGCUGCUUUGGAAAGCCAGCUGGAAGAUAUGCAGGAGAAGAUCCGUUGCAUUUCCCAGGAACGACAGCAGUUAAGUCAGCAAUUAAAAGAUGAAACUCAGCAGAAGGAACAGUUAAAGCAGAUAAAGAAUGAAAUGGAGAAUGAACGAUUGCAACUGAGUGAGACUGUUGAGAAGUUACAGGAGGAGAUGUCUGAAAUGGUGGAGAUCUCAAGAACAUCAACUCUGGAACUUCAGAGCCAGCUUGAUGAAUACAAGGAGAAAAAUCGCAGGGAAUUUGUAGAUCUGCAGAGGCAAUUAAAGGAGAAAAACAUUGAGGUAGAAAAAUCACGCUUGAUGAACAUAAGAAUGCAAGAUGAGAUGCGUCUGAUGGAAGAAAACCUGAAGGACCACCAGAGAGCCCAGGAUGAGGCAAUAACAAAAACUCAGUUACUGGAACAGACUGUGAAAAGCUUGGAGUAUGAACUGGAAGCCAAAAACCACUUAAAAGAUGAUCGGGCAAGACAAAUCAAACUAAUGGAGGACAAGUUGUCUCACCUGGAACUUGAGCUUGAUGAAGAAAAGAAUAAUUCGGAUUUGUUGUCUGAGAGGAUCAGCAGGUGCAGAGAACAGAUUGAACAAAUGAGGACAGAGCUACUUCAGGAAAGAGCUAUAAAGCAAGACUUGGAGUGUGACAAAAUUUCCUUGGAAAGACAGAACAAGGACCUGAAGAGCCGAAUCCUUCACCUGGAGGGUUCUUACCGAUCCAGUAAGGAGGGACUUGUUGCUCAGAUGGAGGCAAGGAUCACAGAGCUGGAAGAACGACUUGCAAAUGAAGAGAGGGAUAGAAUCAAUUUCCAACUAAGUAACCGCAGACUCGAGAGAAAAGUGAAGGAGUUAAUGUUGCAAGUAGAUGAUGAACAUCUGUCAUUGACUGAUCAGAAGGACCAGAUGCUGGAAGAAUAAAAUUCCUUUGUUAAAAUAGUCCUCUAAUCAGGUGACAUGUAAAUAUUGCAGUUGAGUUUGCGUUUGAAAGCAAUGAAACGUCAAGUUGAAGAAGCUGAAGAAGAAAUAGACAGACUGGAAAAUGCUAAAAAGAAACUCCAGAGAGAACUUGAAGAGCAACUAGACAUAAAUGAACAAUUGCAAGGACAGCUUAACACUGCAAAAAAAGAAUUAAGUAGACUGAAGAAGUCACCAAGCAAAGUGCUGGCUGAUUCUGAUGAUGAUGACGACGAUGACGAUGAUUUCAGCACGGAUGGUGAUAGUCUCUGUGAAGUACCUUCAGGAAAUAAUUUCUCAAAAGAUGAUGACACAAAAAUCUAAAUAAGUAUGGAUGCAAUUCCUUGAAAGUACUGGAAGAAUAACAUAAAUUAUCAAGAAACUGGAUAUUCUAGAAGCCAAAUGACAUAAAGGGAUUUAAGAGUUGGAAAUACAAUGUUUCCAUCUAUAUUGUGCCAUUUUCUUGUUUAGAUCUCCACUGUUUAAUAUAGAAAACAGGAUUGCGUUAUAAAACACCUAUAAAACUAUAUAUAUAUCUAUAAACUGCUACUGGAAAUGUGAGAAUAACAUUUCACAUUGGAAAUGGGAUUUUGCUAAAAUUCUGUUCAAGUAAAAAGCCAUUUGAUAUUAAUUAAAAAUUAGUUUUUAGUUGUUAAAAGCUUUUCCCUAAAAUUAAGGAAACUAUAGAAGAUAAUUUAAUAAUUGUAAGUAAGGGGAAAUUGUGUAUAAAAUGUAAAUAUUUUAAAUUUUAUCUUUUUAUUGACUACUUUAGUACUAUUUUGUAAAGUUUCAAAUAUUAUAUAAAUCAGUUUGAUAUGUAAUAUCUUUAAGUUUAUAUUGAAUGCUUUGGGUUUUCACUAAGAGGAAAACAAAUGAAAAUGAAUACAUUUCAUGCAUUACAGAGCAGAUUCAUAGUUCCUGGGCAAGGAAGUACAUUUAAAUACCAGUGUAAGUUUUAUUGUAUGUGUUCUGUAUAUUAGAGGUCAAAUGUUAAUCCUGCCUGUUGACUUUAAAAGGACCAUCACAUCUGCAUGAUGAGAGAGACUUGGCUUCAACUUCCGUGUAAACUUAAUUUGGGAAGCUUUCUGUUCUUAGUAGGGAAGGGUGAGAAUGAUGUCAGUCAUUACUUGGUAUCUUUCAUUUCCUGAAAGGAAUGCAGUUCUGCCAGAGGCAGAAUGUUAUAGGCCUGCUGAUUUGAGGACAUUGGGACAGUCUUAUAUUGCAAGUUUCUAAAGAGUCCCACUUGUUCCAGUAAAAUUACUUGUGGUCUUUGACUUUAAGUACAUGCCGUUUAUUGAUACGAAAAUUUUAUGCUGCUGGCAAGAAAUUGCACCAAGGAAACGGAAAGCAUGUUAUCUGAUUUUUCUUUCUAAGUUCUUCUUGACCAUCUACUAGUGAUAUAUUGCAGUGCAUGGUCAUAUCUGCAGAUACAUAUUGGUAUUUCAGUUUACAGAAGUAUCUGUAUUUUGGGUUAUCCAUCUAUUCAACAAACUUUUUGGGAAAUGUAAAAGAAAGAGCAUUGAAGAUUUUAUUUUUAAAACAUUUUCUAUUUCGUUGCUAAAAUUAUUUUUUGCCAUUUGUAUUACACCAGACUGGUUUUGCUCCUUUGCAAAUCUAGAAUUCUAAGGAAAGGGCAUUACUACAAAACUUUGUUAAUAAACCAUAGUUAGGUCCUGUCUAUUUAUCAGUAUUUGUUCUCAGUUACAGGUUAAUGAGCACUUGUUCAUUGAUUUGAUGAAGUAAUCAUGGAAUUGUAAAAAAUAUUUUGAACUGAAGUUGCUGGGAACUUCCAUUAUUCCCACAAAGGAAUCUGCUGCAGAGGACAAAUUUAACAGCUCUGACAGUGAGGCUGGCAGAUGUGGUUAAGGCAAAAGUCCCGACAAUGGCAGUAUCCAUUUUCAUACAGUUGCAUGAAAUGAAACUCCUGCCUGCGAGGUCAGAAAUAUAUUCCUGCAUAGCAGAUCACAAACUCUUUGCCAUGUAAUUCCCUUCAACUUGCUUUUGAUCAUUUGAGUUAUACAGGAAAUAACAGGAAUGCCAAAGUUGUCUCUGAAUCUUGUAUCUUUACCAGUAGCAUGCACAUGGAACAUCUUGCAGUAUUGGCAUUGCUAUUUUGACAUCACAGGAACAGCCUUUCAUCCAAGAAGACCUGUGCUACACUGUACUGACAAUCAUCAUAGAAACUGCUGUGAUUUAUUUGUUGUUUCAUUUGCAUGUUUAUGUAGACUUAACUUCAAGCAACUGAUUCCAAUCCCCAGUACUCUAUCCUGUAAUGUUCAUAGAUUACUUAUUUCAAACCACUGGAAAAAAAUCACUUAAUAUUUCAUCUACCUCCAGUUACACUAAACUGUAAAAGAAAAAUUCACUUAAAAUAAACAGUCAGUGCUCUCAGUUC